UACGUAGGGGGCAAGCGUUGUCCGGAAUCAUUGGGCGUAAAGGGCGCGUAGGUGGCUCGCCAAGCGGGCGGUGAAAGCCUGGGGCUCAACCCCGGGUCGGCCGUGCGAACUGGCGAGCUGGAGCACUGUAGAGGCAGGCGGAAUUCCGGGUGUAGCGGUGGAAUGCGUAGAGAUCCGGAAGAACACCGGUGGCGAAGGCGGCCUGCUGGGCAGUGGCUGACACUGAGGCGCGACAGCGUGGGGAGCAAACAGG
rnacentral:rRNA from 1 species